GGGGUUGUGGCUCAGUGGCAGAGCACUCACUUAGCAUGUGUGAGACACUGGGUUUGAUCCUUAGCAUCCCA
rnacentral:tRNA from 1 species